GCUCGACAGCAAAGUAUCCUGCGACCCUUACUGUAGCAAUGGGCGAGCGGCACCAGUGAAGACGUAGACAACCGCGCCUCUUCCCCAUCUACCGAUUCGGGAAUGAAACUAAACGGUAGCCGUGGAGGGGAAACUAGUUUUAAAAUGUUGGCGGUUUCGGAAAGAUAGAUUUGUGCCGAGAAGCCUAUUUUAGGUUGUUUACGUGAGGAGACGAGUUCGAGUCAAGCAUGCAGAAAAUCUUCGUAAGUUAACUUCGUU